rnacentral:rRNA from 1 species
AGUGAACGCUGGCGGUAGGCCUAACACAUGCAAGUCGAACGGCAGCACAGUAAGAGCUUGCUCUUACGGGUGGCGAGUGGCGGACGGGUGAGGAAUACAUCGGACUCUACUUUUUCGUGGGGGAUAACGUAGGGAAACUUACGCUAAUACCGCAUACGACCUACGGGUGAAAGCAGGGGAUCUUCGGACCUUGCGCGAUUGAAUGAGCCGAUGUCGGAUUAGCUAGUUGGCGGGGUAAAGGCACACCAAGGCGACGAUCCGUAGCUGGUCUGAGAGGAUGAUCAGCCACACUGGAACUGAGACACGGUCCAGACUCCUACGGGAGGCAGCAGUGGGGAAUAUUGGACAAUGGGCGCAAGCCUGAUCCAGCCAUACCGCGUGGGUGAAGAAGGCCUUCGGGUUGUAAAGCCCUUUUGUUGGGAAAGAAAAGCAGCAGGUUAAUACCCCGCUGUUCUGACGGUACCCAAAGAAUAAGCACCGGCUAACUUCGUG